CAUGGCUGUCGUCAGCUCGUGUCGUGAGAUGUUCGGUUAAGUCCGCUAACGAGCGCAACCCUCGCUGUGUGUUACAAGUGUCACACGGAACUGCCGGUCAUAAACCGAGGAAGGUGGGGAUGACGUCAAGUCAGCAUGGCCUUUAUAUCCUGGGCUACACACACGCUACAAUGGGAAGGGACAAUAGGUUGCGAAGCCGCGAGGCGGAGCCAAUCCAGCAAAACUUCCCUCAGUUCAGAUUGCAGGCUGCAACUCGCCUGCAUGAAGUUGGAGUUGCUAGUAAACGCAGGUCAGCCAUACUGCGUUGAAUACGUUCCCGGGGCUU
rnacentral:rRNA from 1 species